rnacentral:rRNA from 1 species
GAUGAACGCUGGCGGCGUGCCUAAUACAUGCAAGUCGAGCGAAUGGACGAGAAGCUUGCUUCUCUGAUGUUAGCGGCGGACGGGUGAGUAACACGUGGAUAACCUACCUAUAAGACUGGGAUAACUUCGGGAAACCGGAGCUAAUACCGGAUAAUAUUUUGAACCGCAUGGUUCAAAAGUGAAAGACGGUCUUGCUGUCACUUAUAGAUGGAUCCGCGCUGCAUUAGCUAGUUGGUAAGGUAACGGCUUACCAAGGCAACGAUGCAUAGCCGACCUGAGAGGGGGAUCGGCCACACUGGAACUGAGACACGGUCCAGACUCCUACGGGAGGCAGCAGUAGGGAAUCUUCCGCAAUGGGCGAAAGCCUGACGGAGCAACGCCGCGUGAGUGAUGAAGGUCUUCGGAUCGUAAAACUCUGUUAUUAGGGAAGAACAUAUGUGUAAGUAACUGUGCACAUCUUGACGGUACCUAAUCAGAAAGCCACGGCUAACUACGUG